AAGAUCAACAAGCCGUCGUAACAAGGCACGACGUGGCACGACCACAUGCAAAACUAAAUUAAUUAAGCAAGGCAAUCGAGGAUUGGAUUACCUUUUUACGCAAGUGACUUAAUUUAAAUUCCGCAGUAAUAAAUAGCGCUGUCAUGCGUAAAGCGUCUAAUUCAAUUCUUGCGAAUGAGAGCUCACGGAUUGGCACUCCCAAAUAUUUGCAAAGAGAUAAGAAAUCAGCGAUGAAUGCGGCAUUGGUGACAAUUACGAAGCUGCCAAGUCGGGAAGUCAUGAUGCGAAAUAUUUAGCUGUGUUUUAGCAACCGUUUCUGAAGCCGUAUAUUAAAGUAAUUAAACAUGUCGCAUGUACGAC